rnacentral:hammerhead_ribozyme from 1 species
AUCCAGUUGUCAAGUCCUGAAUAGGACGAAACGUGCGUCCUGGAU